GUUACUCCUAACGGGGCAGCAGUGGGGAAUAUUGCACAAUGGGCGCAAGCCUGAUGCAGCAACGCCGCGUGAGGGAUGACGGCCUUCGGGUUGUAAACCUCUUUUAGCAGGGAAGAAGCGAAAGUGACGGUACCUGCAGAAAAAGCACCGGCUAACUACGUGCCAGCAGCCGCGGUAAUACGUAGGGUGCAAGCGUUGUCCGGAAUUAUUGGGCGUAAAGAGCUCGUAGGCGGUCUGUCGCGUCUGCUGUGAAAUCCCGAGGCUCAACCUCGGGCCUGCAGUGGGUACGGGCAGACUAGAGUGCGGUAGGGGAGAAUGGAACUCCUGGUGUAGCGGUGGAAUGCGCAGAUAUCAGGAAGAACACCGAUGGCGAAGGCAGUUCUCUGGGCCGUAACUGACGCUGAGAGCGAAAGCCUGAAAUGCCG
rnacentral:rRNA from 1 species